rnacentral:rRNA from 1 species
AUUGAACGCUGGCGGCAUGCUUUACACAUGCAAGUCGAACGGCAGCGCGGGCUUCGGCCUGGCGGCGAGUGGCGAACGGGUGAGUAAUGCAUCGGAACGUGCCCAGUAGUGGGGGAUAGCCCGGCGAAAGCCGGAUUAAUACCGCAUACGACCUGAGGGUGAAAGCGGGGGACCGAAAGGCCUCGCGCUAUUGGAGCGGCCGAUGUCGGAUUGGCUAGUUGGUGGGGUAAAGGCUUACCAAGGCGACGAUCCGUAGCUGGUCUGAGAGGACGACCAGCCACACUGGGACUGAGACACGGCCCAGACUCCUACGGGAGGCAGCAGUGGGGAAUUUUGGACAAUGGGGGCAACCCUGAUCCAGCCAUGCCGCGUGCGGGAAGAAGGCCUUCGGGUUGUAAACCGCUUUUGUUCGGGAAGAAAUCCUCUGGGCUAAUACCCCGGGGGGAUGACGGUACCGGAAGAAUAAGCACCGGCUAACUACGUG